UACGUAGGUGGCAAGCGUUGUCCGGAAUUAUUGGGCGUAAAGCGCGGGCAGGCGGCUCGUCAAGUCAGAUGUGAAAGCUCCCGGCUCAACCGGGAGAGGCCAUUUGAAACUGAUGGGCUGGAGGGCAGUAGAGGUGUGUGGAAUUCCGGGUGGAGUGGUGAAAUGCGUAGAGAUCCGGAGGAACACCAGAGGCGAAGGCGGCACACUGGACUGCACCUGACGCUGAGCCGCGAAAGCCAGGGGAGCGAACGGG
rnacentral:misc_RNA from 1 species